GGGAGUCGACACGGGAGUCCCGGGAUCGGGGACUGAGAGUGGGCACGCCGCGCCCUUACCGUCGCACCUGAUCCGGGUCAUGCCGGCGAAGGGAGGGGACAUGAAGGGAUC
rnacentral:ncRNA from 2 species